GAGGCAGUGGCACCGCACCUGUGCGGAAGAAAGGGAAGAGGAACAGAGCCCGGGGGACCUCACAAGGCCGUGCAGCUGGGAUGCCUGUUCGAGAAGAGAGAGCAGCGAGCGUGGGAGGAGCCUCACCCUAAGAUGCAGCACCCAGCCUCCUUAGGGAGCUCUGGUGAAGAAGUCACCCGCAAAGCAACCGCACGCCACCCAGGAAGCACCACCCCAUGCUGUCACUGGCUGGGGCUGCUGGUAGAGCACGUGGCCUCAUCGGGACAGUAGGGCAGGGCCACAAGCCACCCUGGCCAAGGCUGUCAUUGGGCUGCAGCUCCCCCGGAGGGAGGUCCACGAAGCCUGCCUCCCUGCGUGCUGCAGACAUUGUGGAUGCUUCUCCCCUUUGCCUUUCUUACAAACAUUUUGCUUUGCUCUUCUCUUCUCCCUCACCCCCCAGCUGUCUUCAGUGUUGGGUGAUCCCUGGAUGCCUGCUCAUUUGUUAGAGCAGAGCAAGAGAAAGUGCUCAGGAGGGCCUGGCAGCUGGCCAACCUCACCUCCAGGAUGGAGCUGGACAAACUAACUUGGGGCUCGGUCCAGGAAAGGGUCGGAAAGCAAACUGCACAGGUGCCUCUGGGGUACCCAGUGAUGGCCUCUGCAACUUCUAGGCACUCCAAAAUAACUCCUUAAAUUUCCUACAGCCAAGAUCUCAGCUGGCUCUAAGGUGUAGUUUGUCCCCGCGAGGAGAAGGUGACUAAGAGCCGGGAGCUGGGCCCACCCCUCGACCACCUUGGGGCCUCCUCAAGACUUCCAGACAAAAACAUUCCUUGAUCAAGGAGUGGAAAAGGAGAUUUGAUAUCAAGUCGUGCGAUCUUUUUUUUGGCUGACAGCACGCAAUUCAGCUGUUGGGGAUGAAGUGCAGCCUCAGCGCACACCAGGUACCAAGGCGUCCACUUGCCUUCACCCUCUGUUGUACCAGCACAGCCCUCACCUUAGUCUGCUCAAGCUGCUUCAGCAAAAUGCUGUACAGUGAACUGGGCACCUGGCAGCUACAGAAACGGACUGGUCACAUUCCUAGGAUCAAAGCCCAGCAGAUGCGCAGUGUGGAAGCACGCUUUCUGCUCCACAGCAGUGACUUCUCACUCGUCCCUGGAGGAGGCCAUCAACAGGCCCCCUCAGGACCCCUUGGUAAGGACACGAAUCCCAUUUAUGAGGCAACCACCUCAUGGCCCAGUCAUCUCCCCAAAGCCCCACCUUCUACCCCAUGCCCUUGGGGCUCAAGACUUCAACAUGUGAAUCCGAGAGGGGAGCAAACAUUCAGGCCACAGCACCGCUCUUCACACAAGGGCAAAAGACACUGAUAAGUACCAAGAGCAGAGUAACCAGGAAAAGCAGUGCCCCUGCAUUUGUUACCAACUGUAAGAAAGUUCCACGGCCUUCCCAUGACUUAGCGCAGGGGGACUCAGAGCCUUGGACAUACAAGCAGCUCAGGGAAGGACUUGGGCCGAGUGGCUGGUGGUGCAGAUGGGCUUGGGGGGUGGCUGUUCUGCGGCCCCCUGCACCUGACCCGCACUGAGAAGAAGUGCAGGGCCCUGGGUGGAUUGGAGGUGACCAGGACCCUCCCUGCUGACACAUCACCCGGACCUCUCAGGCCCUGGACAGAAGCUGGCCUGCAGCCCAGAGCCCCAGCUGAGCUGCAUCGGAAGGUUCCAGCAACUCCUCCUCCAUCCGUUCCUCUCUCUUCCAUCAAGGCUUCCUCUGGAGCAGAGGGCCCGGGCCAUCACUCCAUUGCUCUUCCAACCCUCAGACCAAGGACAGAGCAGGGGACAAGCAGGUCCCAACCCCACCCUCCCCAGGCCCUGGCCCAUCUGCUUUCCCCAGCAGCACGGCAGAGGGAGGUGACCCAUCCCCUCCACCUGGGCUUCAGGGGAUACCACUCGCCUCCCACCCGUCCUCGGCCUCCUGACACUGAGGACAGCCAGAGCCCCUCUCCUGGACGCUGUCCCCUUGCCCAUGGGUGACGGAGCUGCAGGAGGAGUUUCUACACAGGGCAGCUCCUUUCCGAUGUCACAGGGUACCUCAGCCAAGAUUGAAGGAGGGUGGCCCCGAGCUGCCCCUUGCCAGCCACGUUCCAGGGACAGCAGUCAAGGCUGUGGCCUUCAGAGUGGCUUCUGGAUGGAGAAGGUGUGUGCACCGAAGGUUCUCUUCCUGCACUGCCCUCUGGGGAGCUGUCCCAAGACAGGGUGAGGCAGGGCUCCUGGGGGGCAGAGGGGCCAGGCCUGCCCCUGGGAGGCGCUUCGUGAGUGAUGGAAGGGGCUGGUCAGGAGCUCGGCCCAGAUUGUGGCUCGGCCAUGGGCAGUGAGCCCCAGUAUGCUGCCACAUUAGAAUUCAAGUAAAGUCAGGAGAUAGGUGGAAGGCUUGGUCCCCCGCUCAUGGUGCUGUGGGGGCCUAGAGGGGAGUCCUUCAGUCACCCAGGAUGUGGCCUUGAAGGGGACUGCGAAACCUCAGGCUUCUCCUCUCCCUCUGCCCUCUGGCCCCUGCCACAUACCUCCCACUGUGCCCACCCAGCUCCCCCACCAGGGUCCAGAGAAAUGCCCCACCGCAGCAGAAAGCUGACCACCAGUCCUAUGGCUCAUGUCCUGCUGCUCACCAAGCCCAGUGCAGUUAGGUGGGUCCCAUCUUGUCAUGUCACUCACCAAAGGACCCACGCAGCUCUGGGGUGACUCGGUGUGUGCAGAGGCCAGAGCCACUGCCUCCCCCUCCCUGAGGAGUCAACGGUGAGGCUGGGUGUGUCUGGUGGGGCACAGAAGGUGACCUUGGGUUCGUAUCAUGUCCUUCAUCCCUUCCUCUCAGCACUCUUCUGCUCUGCAUCCAGGAACUACGGAGCUCUCCUUCUGGCCCUUCCACCAUGGUAUUUCUGCCCUGGACCAGCCAACCCUGGACUGAAUCCUCUGAAACACUGAGCCAAGCUAACCUCUUUUCCUCAAACUUCCCAUAUCAGGUAGUUUGUCCAGCAUGGGGAAAGCUGACUGUUCCGUGGUCCUUCCGGUCCCUGGAUAAUUCCCUGUCUGAGCGUAUUUGCACCCUGCUCAGAGAAAACUCCGAGCAAAGAAGGAAGAUAAAACUCCCCUUCAGGGUCCAAGAUGGGAGUUGGAUCUUUGUAAAUUAAAAAACAAAGGGAAAAGCAAGUCUGUGGCCCAUCUUUGAGUGGGAAGCUUCAUUUAUUCUCCUGCUCUUACUUACCCGCCCACAACAGGGUGAGAGCGAUCUGAUCUGUGAGGAGGGAGCAGCAGCCACAGC